rnacentral:siRNA from 1 species
GGGCCGGCGAUGCGUCCUGGUCG